UUCUCUCCAACUCUUUCACUAUUAUUUCUCUAAUUUUGAAGCUAAAAACCAACAGAUCAUCGUUGAAGCUGACUCGAGCCUACUGGUUCAAACAGUGAAAAAUCAAACAAGUCUACCUUGACGACUCAUGGAGAUGUUGGACAAGAUCAAGAGGGUAAUGGAAGGGAAAGAUAGUAGUCCAACAUUGCUAUAGAGAGCCAAUAAUGUAGCAGACAAGUUAGCCUUCAUUAGCCAUAUUCACAAGCAAUAUUUGGUUUUCACAGACUUCACAGGCCUACCAAGGGAAGUUACAGGUUUGUUUCAACUUGAUAGAAUGAAGAUGGCCUCUUUCGGAGUUAGACAAAGGAAAACGACGGAAAUAACUUUUGAACCACCCUAGGAACCUCUAAUGGAUCAAUACAGUUAAUGUUCUAUUGGAUUCUAGUGUUGGGG
rnacentral:lncRNA from 1 species